rnacentral:tRNA from 1 species
GAGAUGUCUCAGUGGGUGAGAGAUCUUGAUUUCCAAGCAAGAAGACCCUUGGGUUGGAAUCCCAAGCACUCA